AAUGGACGCUGGCGGCGCGCCUAAUACAUGCAAGUCGAGCGAGAAGACGUAGCAAUACGUUUGUAAAGCGGCGAACGGGUGAGGAAUACAUGGGUAACCUACCCUCGAGUGGGGAAUAACUAGCCGAAAGGUUAGCUAAUACCGCGUACGCUCCUUGGACUUCGGUUCAGGGAGGAAAGCGAUACCGUGGGUAUCGCGCUCUUGGUUGGGCUCAUGUCCUAUCAGCUUGUUGGUGAGGAACGGCUCACCAAGGCUUCGACGGGUAGCUGGUCUGAGAGGACGAUCAGCCACACUGGCACUGCGACACGGGCCAGACUCCUACGGGAGGCAGCAGUGAGGAAUAUUGCGCAAUGGGCGAAAGCCUGACGCAGCGACGCCGCGUGGGGGAGUGAAGGU
rnacentral:rRNA from 1 species